GAGAGAUAAUGGAAUUCCCAUCAAGAUGCACAUCAGGAAGUGGGUAAGUUGAGGGACCACUGCACAAUGGACAGCAUGCUGUAUAGAGCCCGACAGUGCAAUGGAAAAUGUUGAUAGUUUUCUUACUUGACCAAUGUGUGGGUGGUCGCAUGUUGUCAAUAAUGGCAACCACACGAACGUGGCCAUGUGACAAUAUAUCAUGUGUGUGGUCACAUGUGUUGUCAAUGUUGGCAACCACACAAACGUAGCCACGUGACAAUACUUCAAUGAUGGCAACCACACGAGCGUGGCCAUGUGACAAUACUUCAAUGAUGGCAACCACACGAGCGUGGCCACGUGACAAUACUUCAAUGAUGGCAACCACACGAGCGUGGCCAUGUGACAAUACAUCAGACACUCCUUUGGAAGCUGCUGACGACAUUAUUAGUUGGGAUGUAUAUCAUGCCAGGUGACUUUGCAUCAUCAAACACUCCUUCACAGCACAAAUAUGACAAGACUGAGCAUGUCACGGCCCUACUUUUGGCAUCCAUAAAAAGCCAUACAGCACCUUAUUGUCGUCACUCACUCUGGCAACGUGAACUCCUCGCCCAAACGUCGAUAAUUGCUGCUUUGCUCAAAGUGACCUGCCCAGAGUCAGGGGUAUGAUUUUUGACUGACACGACUCCAUUGUUAAAUAAAUGACUCCAUCACCGCUUCUCUUCCGCACUUGGUCGCUUGAUGCACGACAGCACUGAUCCCUCUUUUUGGUCUUGUCGCCUAAAAAUGAGAAUGUUCAUACAAAGCAUUUGAAUGUCUGGCUUGUCUUUGUUUUUUGUUUUUGUUUUUUUUUUGCUUUGUACUAAACAUGUUUAACACAAAUUUGAGGGUUUAAUUUUUUUUAUGGCUUUUUUUUUUUCUUCCUUUUUUUAUUUCACUGUGUUGUUCUGGCCAGUGUCCUAAAGUCAAUCAAUUCUUAAUAAAAAAAAAAUGUAUUUGACUUGCACUA